UAGCGCUACCCGUGCGCCUGCGUGGAACGAUUCUGUGGCGAGUGCCGGCCGAAAGCUAGGUCCGGAUUGCACGUGGAGGGCCGCCCGAAGGGCACUCUCGGACAUUAACCCGCAUUCUGUACCAUGGGGCGCAAGUUGGACCCUACGAAGGAGAAGCGGGGGCCAGGCCGAAAGGCCCGGAAGCAGAAGGGUGCCGAGACAGAACUCGUCAGAUUCUUGCCUGCAGUAAGUGACGAAAAUUCCAAGAGGCUGUCUAGUCGUGCUCGAAAGAGGGCAGCCAAGAGGAGAUUGGGCUCUGUUGAAGCCCCUAAGACAAAUAAGUCUCCUGAGGCCAAACCAUUGCCUGGAAAGCUACCAAAAGGUCCGUGAAACUAAGAGCUGGAUGCUACAUGAGGAGUCCCUUUGGGUCCUGGGUAGGGAAGAACUCGCUAAACAUUUCCGGAGUGAAAGGAACAGCCAAAGGACAUUCUGAGGGGUAGAAAGUACAGGCUCCCAGGGUGUGGGGCCAGGGAAUGUGUGGCUGCCAUUAGUCCAGGACUCUUCAAACCCUUAGGGAUCUCUGCAGGAGCUGUCCAGACAGCUGGUAAGAAGGGACCCCAGUCCCUAUUUAAUGCUCCUCGAGGCAAGAAG
rnacentral:lncRNA from 1 species